GACGAACGCUGGCGGCGUGCUUAACACAUGCAAGUCGAGCGGAAAGGCCACUUCGGUGGUACUCGAGCGGCGAACGGGCGAGUAACACGUGAGUAAUCUGCCCCUGGCUUUGGGAUAGCCACCGGAAACGGUGAUUAAUACCGGAUAUGACCACUUCCCGCAUGGGUUGUGGUGGAAAGUUUGUCGGCCAGUGAUGUGCUCGCGGCCUAUCAGCUUGAUGGUGAGGUAAUGGCUCACCAUGGCUUCGACGGGUAGCCGGCCUGAGAGGGUGACCGGUCACACUGGGACUGAGACACGGCCCAGACUCCUACGGGAGGCAGCAGUGGGGAAUAUUGGACAAUGGGCGGAAGCCUGAUCCAGCAACGCCGCGUGAGGGAUGACGGCCUUCGGGUUGUAAACCUCUUUCAGCAGGGACGAAGCGCAAGUGACGGUACCUGCAGAAGAAGCACCGGCCAACUACGUGCCAGCAGCCGCGGUAACAC
rnacentral:rRNA from 1 species